rnacentral:rRNA from 1 species
CCUACGGGAGGCAGCAGUAGGGAAUUUUGCGCAAUGGGCGAAAGCCUGACGCAGCAACGCCGCGUGAUCGAGGCGCCCUUCGGGGUGUAAAGAUCUGUCAGUGCGGACGAAACUUGAAGGUACCCAACGAGGAAGCACCGGCUAACUACGUGCCAGCAGCCGCGGUAAUACGGGGGGUGCCAGGGUUUUCCGGAAUCAUUGGGCGGAAAGAGUUCGUAGGCGGCACGGAAGGUCUGGUGUUAAAGGCAGAGGCUCAACUUCUGUACGGCCCUUGAUACUUGCGGGCUAGAAUGCGGUAGAGGUAAAGGGAAUUCCUGGUGUAGCGGUGAAAUGCUUAGAUAUCAGGAGGAACAUCGGUGGCGUAAGCGCUUUACUGGGCCGUAAUUGACGCUGAGGAACGAAAGCCAGGGUAGCAAAUGGGAUUAGAUACCCCAGUAGUC